GAUGAACGCUGGCGGCGUGCUUAACACAUGCAAGUCGAAAGAGAAGUGAAGACGGAAACCUUCGGGCGGAAGGCUUUAUUUCGAGUGGCGGACGGGUGAGUAACGCGUGGGUAACCUGCCUCAUACAGGGGGAUAACAGUUGGAAACGACUGUUAAUACCGCAUAAGACCACAGCACCGCAUGGUGCGGGGGUAAAAACUCCGGUGGUAUGAGAUGGACCCGCGUUCGAUUAGCCAGUUGGCGGGGUAACGGCCCACCAAAGCGACGAUCGAUAGCCGAUCUGAGAGGAUGACCGGCCACAUUGGGACUGAGACACGGCCCAAACUCCUACGGGAAGCAGCAGUGGGGAAUAUUGCACAAUGGGGGAAACCCUGAUGCAGCGACGCCGCGUGAGUGAAGAAGUAUUUCGGUAUGUAAAGCUCUAUCAGCAGGGAAGAAAAUGACGGUACCUGAGUAAGAAGCCCCGGCUAACUACGUG
rnacentral:rRNA from 1 species